rnacentral:pre_miRNA from 1 species
AGUGGAAUUGCUGGGUCAUAUGGUCACUCUAACUUUUCGAGGAACUGCUCAACUCUUUUCUGAAGUAGCUGAGCCAUUUUACAUUCCCACCAGCCAC